rnacentral:rRNA from 1 species
UAUUCCCCACUGCUGCCUCCCGUAGGAGUCUGGGCCGUAUCUCAGUCCCAAUGUGGCCGUUGAACCUCUCAGUCCGGCUACUGAUCGUCGUCUUGGUAAGCCGUUACCCCACCAACUAACUAAUCAGCCGUAAGCCCAUCUAUUAGCGGAUUUCUCCUUUCCCACUAGUAUCAUGCGAUACCUAUGGCAUAUGCGGUAUUAGCAGUCAUUUCUAACUGUUGUUCCCCUCUAAUAGCCAGGUUGCUUACGUAUUACUCACCAGUCCGCCACUAAAGCCAUUGUUGUAAGUCAACUUCCAUUCCCUUCGAACAAGUUCUCUGUUCCUUUCCACAUCAUUACAACGACUUCCGUUCGACUUGCAUGUCUUAUGUGCGCCGCCAGCGUUCAUCCUGAGCCAA